AUGAUUCCCCUAGUAACGGCGAGUGAAGAGGGAAAAGCUCAAAGUUGGAACCUGGUAGGCAUAGCCUAUCCGGAUUGUAAACUAAAGUUUUUGGGUCGUCUAGUCAGCCAGGUAAAUAAGUCCUCUGGAAAGGGGCGACAUGGAGGGUGAAAUCCCCGUCUUUGGCCUGAGUUUUUUGAUUAGGCGUUUGGCCUGGAAACGAAGAGUCAGGUUGUUUGGGAAUGCAGCCUAAAAUGGGAGGUAAAUCUCUCCUAAAGCUAAAUAUUGACGAAAGACCGAUAGCGAACAAGUACCGUGAGGGAAAGAUGAAAAGCACUUUGAAAAGAGGGUCAAAAAGUACGUGAAAUUGCUGAAAGGGAACCGUAUAAAAUCAGACUUACUGGUAGGUAAUCAACCUUUCCUUUGGGAAGGGUGCACUUGCCUACUUAUGUAUGCCAGCGAUAUUUCGGUUGGAAGGAAAAAAGUGAGAGGAAGGUAGCCUAGGCCUUUGGUUUAGGUGUUAUAGCCUCUUGCAAAAUACUUUCGGCUGGAAUAAGGAACGCAGCAAACCCGCAAGGGCAAAGAGCUUGGGUGCUUGGGGUAGUGAGUGAAUGAAUUUCUGCUUCGGGUGGUGCAUUUGCUUACUAUUUCAACCCAUCUAGGUUUCUUUUUAUUUGCUUAGGUUGUUGGCUUAAUGAUUUUAUAUGAC
rnacentral:rRNA from 1 species